UGGCACAGAGGGAUUUCGGAAUGCCA
rnacentral:piRNA from 1 species